UAGAGUACGACCCGAAUCCUAGCGAUCUAGGCGGAGGCAGGUUGAAGCGUCUCGAAAGGGGCGUUGAGGACCGCAAGCGUUUUUGAUUUGCAAAUCAUUCGCGUGAUCCCCGUCUAGGAGUGAAAGGCUAAUCGAGCUGGGUGAUAGCUGGUUCCUUCCGAAACAUGUCGCAGCAUGACCUUGCUGGAGAUCGUCGGCGAAGUAGAGCACUGAUUGGGGAAUACCUGGAGGGAAACCUCUAGCUCUCCUGUCAAACUCCAAAAUCGCCGUCAUCGUAGAAGGCGGGAGUCCGCACUGGUGGGUAAGCUAACAGUGCGUGAGGGAGACAACCCAGACCGUGGUUAAGGUCCCAGAGUGUCGGCUAAGUGUAAACACAAAAAGGGUGUCCCAAGCCCUAGACAACUGGAAGGUGAGCUCAGAAGCAGCUAUCCUUUAAAGAGUGCGUAACAGCUCACCAGUCGAGGUUUGGGGCCCCGAAAAUGGACGGGGCUCAAGCCGACCACCGAUACCACGGGGCACCGAAAGGUGAUCCUGUAGGAAGGCGUCUCGUUUGGGUAGAAGCAGGGCUGUGAAGUCCUGUGGACCAUACGGGAACGAAAAUCCUGGCAAUAGUAGCACCAAAGUCCGGUAAGAAUCCGGACCGCCGUAGGGGCCAGGGUUCCUCGGCAAUGAUUGUCAGCCGAGGGUUAGUCGAUCCUAAGUCGUACCGUAAUUCGAAUACGACAAAAGGGAAACAGGUUAAUAUUCCUGUACCAUUCAGUCUUUCCCGCAAGGGACUGACGCAUCCGGGUAGAUCAAGCAGGCAUGCCUGCCUGUCCAAGCGCGGAAACUGGUGGAGAACCGUAAUGGUGAGAAGCCGGUGAAAGCGUGAUGGCUCAAGUUGAUUGAUUCCAGGUGCCCGUGAAAAGGUGACUGAAUGCUCGUACCAAGAACCGACACUGGUGCCCCUAGUUGAGAAGACUAAGGCGUGUCGGCAUAAACUGGCUAAGGGAAUUCGGCAAAUUAGCUCCGUAACUUCGGGAGAAGGAGUGCCUGCCUUGAAGAAGGCAGGUCGCAGUGACCAGGGAGCACUGACUGUCUAAUAACAACAUAGCUGACUGCCAAUCCGUAAGGAUGUGUACAGUUGGUGAAUCCUGCCCAGUGCAGGUACCUGAAAACCCGGUACAACGGGACGAAGGGCCUGUAAACGGCGGGGGUAACUAUAACCCUCUUAAGGUAGCGUAGUACCUUGUCGCUUAAUUGGCGACUUGCAUGAAUGGAUCAACGAGUGCUCUACUGUCCCUAGUCAGAACCCGGUGAACUUUACGUUCUAGUGCAGAGUCUAGAGACCCCUUAGGGGAAGUGAAGACCCCGUUGAGCUUUACUGCAGCCUGUGGCUGGGUUGUGGUCUUGGAUGCGCAGUGUAGGUAGGAGGCGUCGAUACCUUACUUUCGGGUAAGGUGGAGCCGACAAUGAGACACUACCCUUCUGAGACUACGACCCUAACUUGGAGACGAGGACACCCAUAGGUGGGCAGUUUGGGUGGGGCGCCACGCCCUUGAAAAGAUAUCAAGGCGCCCAAAGGUUGAUUCAUGCGGGUCGGAAACCCGCAGUAGAGUGCAAGAGCAUAAGUCAGCCUGACUGGAUUUCACACAACAAGAAAUCCCGGGACGAAAGUCUGGUCUAGCGAACCACUACGCCUUCUUGGUGAGGGCUAUUGACUACAGAAAAGCUACCACAGGGAUAACAGAGUCGUCGCCGGCAAGAGUACAUAUCGACCCGGCGGCUUGCUACCUCGAUGUCGGUUCUUUCCAUCCUGGCUGUGCAGCAGCAGCCAAGGGUGAGGUUGUUCGCCUAUUAAAGGAGAUCGUGAGCUGGGUUUAGACCGUCGUGAGGCAGGUCGGUUACUAUCUAUAAGGGGUGUUUUGAGGUCUGAGGGUAAGUUGCAUUUAGUACGAGAGGAACUGUGCAACGGUGCCACUGGUGGACCUGUUGUCUGGCAAGGCAACGCAGGGCAGCUACGCACUAAAGGAUUAAAGCUGAAAGCAUCUAAGCUUGAAACCUCACCUAAAAAGAGACCUCUCAGGACUCUCGUAAAAGACGAGUUUGAUAGAGUCGGGGUGUAAGCACCAAGGUGACGAGGUGUUCAGCCCGCCGACUACUAACGUCCACGCUAGAUUU
rnacentral:rRNA from 1 species